GGGGAAGUAGAUCAGCUGGUUAGAUCGUCACGUUGACAUCGUGAAGGCCGGAGGUUCGAGUCCUCUCUUCCCCACCA
rnacentral:tRNA from 1 species